CCUACGGGAGGCAGCAGUAGGGAAUAUUGGUCAAUGGGGGCAACCCUGAACCAGCCAUGCCGCGUGCAGGAAGACAGCCUUCUGGGUUGUAAACUGCUUUUAUCAGGGGGGAAUUGUCGGGAUGCGUCCCGAAGUUGACAGUACCUGAUGAAUAAGCACCGGCUAACUCCGUGCCAGCAGCCGCGGUAAUACGGAGGGUGCAAGCGUUGUCCGGAUUUAUUGGGUUUAAAGGGUGCGUAGGCGGGACAAUAAGUCAGUGGUGAAAGUCCACCGCUCAACGGUGGGAUUGCCAUUGAAACUGUUGUUCUUGAGUAAAGUCGAGGUAGGCGGAAUUUAUGGUGUAGCGGUGAAAUGCAUAGAUACCAUAAGGAACACCGAUAGCGAAGGCAGCUUACUAGACUAACACUGACGCUGAGGCACGAAAGCGUGGGGAGCGAACAGGAUUAGAUACCCUGGUAGUCCACGCUGUAAACGAUGAUCACUCGAUGUAUGCGAUAGACAGUAUGCGUCCCAGCGAAAGCGAUAAGUGAUCCACCUGGGGAGUACGCCGGCACGGUUGAAACUCAAAGGAAUUGACGG
rnacentral:rRNA from 1 species